rnacentral:rRNA from 1 species
GAUGAACGCUGACAGCAUGCUUAACACAUGCAAGUCUACUUGAACUUCGGUUUGGGUGGCGGACGGGUGAGUCACGCGUAAAGAACUUGCCUCACAGAUAGGGACAACAUUUGGAAACGAAUGCUAAUACCCGAUAUUAUGAUGUUAGGGCAUCCUAGAAUUAUGAGAGCUAUAUGCACUGUGAGAGAGCUUUGGGUCCCAUUAGCUAGUUGGAGAGGUAACGGCUCACGAAGGCGAUGAUGGGUAGCCGGCCUGAGAGGGUGAUCGGCCACAAGGGGACUGAGGCAGGGCCAGUACGCCUUCGGGGGGCAGCAGUGGGGAAUAUGGGACAAUGGACCAAGAGUCUGAUCCAGCAAUUCUGUGUGCACGAUGAGGUUUUUCGGAAUGAAAAGUGCUUUCAGUUGGGAAGAAAAAAAUGACGGUACCAACAGAAGAAGUGACGGCUAAAUACGUG